AGAGUUUGAUCAUGGCUCAGGACGAACGCUGGCGGCGUGCCUAAUACAUGCAAGUCGAACGCUUCUUUCCUCCCGAGUGCUUGCACUCAAUUGGAAAGAGGAGUGGCGGACGGGUGAGUAACACGUGGGUAACCUACCCAUCAGAGGGGGAUAACACUUGGAAACAGGUGCUAAUACCGCAUAACAGUUUAUGCCGCAUGGCAUAAGAGUGAAAGGCGCUUUCGGGUGUCGCUGAUGGAUGGACCCGCGGUGCAUUAGCUAGUUGGUGAGGUAACGGCUCACCAAGGCCACGAUGCAUAGCCGACCUGAGAGGGUGAUCGGCCACACUGGGACUGAGACACGGCCCAGACUCCUACGGGAGGCAGCAGUAGGGAAUCUUCGGCAAUGGGGGCAACCCUGACCGAGCAACGCCGCGUGAGUGAAGAAGGUUUUCGGAUCGUAAAGCUCUGUUGUAAGUCAAGAACGAGUGUGAGAGUGGAAAGUUCACACUGUGACGGUAGCUUACCAGAAAGGGACGGCUAACUACGUGCCAGCAGCCGCGGU
rnacentral:rRNA from 1 species